rnacentral:tmRNA from 1 species
GGGGGUGCUUUGGUUUCGACAGGAUUCCAGACGCGCUAGUUGCAUGCCGAGGUGGGCUGGCCUCGUAAAAAGCCCAAAAAAGACAAGUGCCAACGAUGAGUAUGCACUCGCUGC